GACGAACGCUGGCGGCGUGCUUAACACAUGCAAGUCGAACGGGAUGAUCUUAAAGCUUGCUUUUAGAGAAUCUAGUGGCAAACGGGUGAGUAACACGUAGACAACCUGCCGACAGGAUGGGGACAACAUUCCGAAAGGAAUGCUAAUACCGAAUGAAGUCAGAGAAGGGCAUCCUUUUCUGAUGAAAGAUGGCCUCUGAAUAUGCUAUCACCUGUCGAUGGGUCUGCGUCUGAUUAGCUGGUUGGUGAGGUAACGGCUCACCAAGGCGACGAUCAGUAGCCGGUCUGAGAGGAUGAACGGCCACAUUGGGACUGAGACACGGCCCAGACUCCUACGGGAGGCAGCAGUGGGGAAUCUUCCGCAAUGGGCGCAAGCCUGACGGAGCAACGCCGCGUGAGUGAAGAAGGUCUUCGGAUCGUAAAGCUCUGUUGAUGGGGAC
rnacentral:rRNA from 1 species